rnacentral:rRNA from 1 species
GUCACUCACGCCACAAACAGAAAUAGGAAGACGAGAGAACAGAAGAGCCAAAGACACUAAAACGAAAUGGCAUCCUCCUCUUCCUUUCUCCUCCUUGCUGCACUUCUUGCGUUAGUCUCAUGGCAGGCCACUGCUUCUGAUCCUAGCCCACUCCAGGACUUUUGUGUCGCCGACAUGAAUUCACCAGUCCGUGUCAAUGGGUUUGUUUGCAAGAACCCGAUGGAGGUCAAUGCAGAUGACUUCUUCAAGGCGGCCAACCUCGACAAGCCUAGGGUGCCCAACAAGGUUGGAUCCAACGUCACUUUGAUCAACGUCAUGCAGAUUGCUGGACUGAACACCCUCGGCAUAUCAAUUGCGCGCAUCGACUAUGCUCCCUUGGGCCAAAACCCACCACAUACGCACCCUCGCGCCACUGAGAUCCUCACGGUGCUCGAGGGAACACUGUACGUUGGCUUUGUGACAUCCAACCAGCCCGCCCCCAACAAAAACAAGUUCUUCUCCAAGGUGCUCAACAAAGGUGAUGUGUUUGUCUUCCCCGUGGGGCUCAUCCACUUCCAAUUCAACCCCAACCCCCACCUGCCUGCUGUUGCAAUUGCCGCGCUAAGCAGCCAGAACCCAGGGGCUAUCACAAUUGCCAAUGCAGUGUUUGGGUCAGACCCACCAAUAUCAGAUGAUGUUCUUGCCAAGGCAUUUCAGGUGGAAAAGAACACAAUAGACUAUCUCCAGGCUCAGUUCUGGGAGAACAACCACUACUAAGACAGACAUUUGUUAAUUACCCCGAAGACCAGUGCACAAGUGAAGGACAUGGUUGAGUUCCUAGAUAUGCAUCCUAAUCUAUAAAAUAAAUGGAGCAUAUGUCAUUCCAUUGUGUGUCUGUAAUCAGUGAAUGUUUUUCUACCUUCUGAAUAAUUGACAAUAUUAUAUUU